UAGGGAAUCUUCGGCAAUGGGGGGAACCCUGACCGAGCAACGCCGCGUGAGUGAAGAAGGUUUUCGGAUCGUAAAGCUCUGUUGUUAAGGAAGAACGAGUGUGAGAAUGGAAAGUUCAUACUGUGACGGUACUUAACCAGAAAGGGACGGCUAACUACGUGCCAGCAGCCGCGGUAAUACGUAGGUCCCGAGCGUUGUCCGGAUUUAUUGGGCGUAAAGCGAGCGCAGGCGGUUAGAUAAGUCUGAAGUGAAAGGCAGUGGCUCAACCAUUGUAGGCUUUGGAAACUGUUUAACUUGAGUGCAGAAGGGGAGAGUGGAAUUCCAUGUGUAGCGGUGAAAUGCGUAGAUAUGUGGAGGAACACCGGUGGCGAAAGCGGCUCUCUGGUCUGUAACUGACGCUGAGGCUCGAAAGCGUGGGGAGCGAACAGG
rnacentral:rRNA from 1 species